rnacentral:rRNA from 1 species
CACGUAGGGGGCGAGCGUUGUCCGGAUUCAUUGGGCGUAAAGGGCGCGCAGGCGGCCCGGAAAGUCGGAUGUGAAAACUCGAGGCUCAACCUCGAGCGUGCACCCGAUACUGCCGGGCUUGAGGCAGGUAGGGGAGAUCGGAAUUCCUGGUGUAGCGGUGAAAUGCGCAGAUAUCAGGAGGAACACCGGUGGCGAAGGCGGCGACCUGGGUAGAUACUGACGCUGAGGCACGAAGGUCAGGGGAGCAAACGGG